rnacentral:piRNA from 1 species
UGAGUAAUGGAAUAGUCUUGCCAAUAC